rnacentral:lncRNA from 1 species
GGCCUCGAUGCGGUGCAGCUCCUUGUGGAAGUCCAUACCUGCCUGCUGCGCCUGGAUGAGCUUGCUGUGCACUGCGUCAGCAGACUCGAUCAGCGUCCGGCUGGUCUGGAUCAUCGUCUCAUAGGCAGUGAGGACCUUGCGCAGCAGGUCGGGGAUAGGGCCCUGUGCCUCCAUGGGGGGGUACUGCUCAGCCAGGUUGAGGGUGACGCUGGGCGCACUGUCACUGUGCAGCAGCCACGCAGCCACCGUCAGGAUGCACUGCUUCAUGUUGGCGGCGGGCG